GUUUGAUCAUGGCUCAGAUUGAACGCUGGCGGCAGGCCUAACACAUGCAAGUCGAGCGGCAGCGGGAGGAAGCUUGCUUCCUGGCCGGCGAGCGGCGGACGGGUGAGUAAGGUAUGGGGAUCUGGCCGAAGGCGGGGGAUAACCACUGGAAACGGUGGCUAAUACCGCAUAAUCUCUAAGGAGCAAAGUGGGGGACCAUUAGGCCUCACACCUUCGGAUGAACCCAUAUGAGAUUAGCUAGUAGGUGGGGUAAGGGCUCACCUAGGCGACGAUCUCUAGCUGGUCUGAGAGGAUGAUCAGCCACACUGGGACUGAGACACGGCCCAGACUCCUACGGGAAGCAGCAGUGGGGAAUAUUGCACAAUGGGUGCAAGCCUGAUGCAGCCAUGCCGCGUGUAUGAAAAAGGCCUUCGGGUUGUAAAGUACUUUCAGUCGUGAGGAAGGUGUUAAGGUUAAUAGCCUUAGCAAUUGACGUUAGCGACAGAAGAAGCACCGGCUAACUCCGUGCCAGCAGCCGCGGUAAUACGGAGGGUGCGAGCGUUAAUCGGAAUUACUGGGCGUAAAGGGCACGCAGGCGGUUAAUUAAGUUGGAUGUGAAAU
rnacentral:rRNA from 1 species